rnacentral:rRNA from 1 species
GGGGAAUAUUGCACAAUGGGCGCAAGCCUGAUGCAGCGACGCCGCGUGCGGGAUGACGGCCUUCGGGUUGUAAACCGCUUUUGAUCGGGAGCAAGCCUUCGGGUGAGUGUACCUUUCGAAUAAGCACCGGCUAACUACGUGCCAGCAGCCGCGGUAAUACGUAGGGUGCAAGCGUUAUCCGGAAUUAUUGGGCGUAAAGGGCUCGUAGGCGGUUCGUCGCGUCCGGUGUGAAAGUCCAUCGCUUAACGGUGGAUCUGCGCCGGGUACGGGCGGGCUGGAGUACGGUAGGGGAGACUGGAAUUCCCGGUGUAACGGUGGAAUGUGUAGAUAUCGGGAAGAACACCAAUGGCGAAGGCAGGUCUCUGGGCCGUUACUGACGCUGAGGAGCGAAAGCGUGGGGAGCGAACAGGAUUAGAUACCCUGGUAGUCCACGCCGUAAACGGUGGAUGCUGGAUGUGGGGCCCGUUCCACGGGUUCCGUGUCGGAGCUAACGCGUUAAGCAUCCCGCCUGGGGAGUACGGCCGCAAGGCUAAAACUCAAAGAAAUUGACGGGGGCCCGCACAAGCGGCGGAGCAUGCGGAUUAAUUCGAUGCAACGCGAAGAACCUUACCUGGGCUUGACAUGUUCCCGACAGCCGUAGAGAUGCGGCCUCCCUUCGGGGCGGGUUCACAGGUGGUGCAUGGUCGUCGUCAGCUCGUGUCGUGAGAUGUUGGGUUAAGUCCCGCAACGAGCGCAACCCUCGCCCUGUGUUGCCAGCACGUCAUGGUGGGAACUCACGGGGGACCGCCGGGGUCAACUCGGAGGAAGGUGGGGAUGACGUCAGAUCAUCAUGCCCCUUACGUCCAGGGCUUCACGCAUGCUACAAUGGCCGGUACAACGGGAUGCGACAUGGCGACAUGGAGCGGAUCCCUGAAAACCGGUCUCAGUUCGGAUUGGAGUCUGCAACCCGACUCCAUGAAGGCGGAGUCGCUAGUAAUCGCGGAUCAGCAACGCCGCGGUGAAUGCGUUCCCG